UACAGAGGGUGCGAGCGUUAAUCGGAAUUACUGGGCGUAAAGCGUGCGCAGACGGUUGCGUAAGUCAGAUGUGAAAGCCCCGGGCUCAACCUGGGAAUUGCAUUUGAGACUGCGUAGCUAGGGUGCGGAAGAGGGAAGCGGAAUUUCCGGUGUAGCGGUGAAAUGCGUAGAUAUCGGAAGGAACACCAGUGGCGAAAAGCGGCUUCCUGGUCCAGCACCGACGUCAGGCACGAAAGCGUGGGGGAGCAAACAGG
rnacentral:rRNA from 1 species